AACCUUUUAGUUUAAGACUAAAAUUCCAAUUUUGUAGUUUGGUGAUGGCAAAUUGCCAGAGGUUA
rnacentral:tRNA from 1 species